UACGAAGGGGGCUAGCGUUGCUCGGAAUCACUGGGCGUAAAGCGCACGUAGGCGGGUUUCUAAGUCGGGGGUGAAAUCCUGGAGCUCAACUCCAGAACUGCCUUCGAUACUGGCGACCUAGAGUCCGGGAGAGGUGAGUGGAACUCCGAGUGUAGAGGUGAAAUUCGUAGAUAUUCGGAAGAACACCAGUGGCGAAGGCGGCUCACUGGUCCGGUACUGACGCUGAGGUGCGAAAGCGUGGGGAGCAAACAGG
rnacentral:rRNA from 1 species